UCUGUUUCAAAAUGGAGUUGUCUGAGUCGGUGCAGAAAGGGCUGCAGUCUCUAGCAGACCCGUCGCUUUUCGACCUGAAGACCUCCUCUGUGUUGAUAUAAUUAACCUUUCGCAGCUCGCUAACCGCCCAUGCCGACCGUAGUGUUCUCGAUCAACCUGAAUUCAUCUGCCACCACCUGCAUACUGGAGGGGGUCAAACAAAACGUGGACAAAUCCACUCUUGUGCCUGGAGGAUGUUAGGUUUGAUGCGGAGAGAAUAUAUGUAUUCUACAUCACAUACCAGGUGAUGACUACCUUAUUAUUUUUUAUAACAUCUUAAUUACCUUAUUGCAAAGAAAUGCAAAUCCAUACCAGAUCUCAACCCCAAACGGACUCUUUUUUUUUCUUCCAGAAAUAUAAAAGUGAUGUGGAAAUUCUAUUGUCAGGGUAACUUUUUCUGAUGUUUUCAUUUCCAGUCAGCCUAUUUGAAAUGCCAUAAUUCAUGACUAUGGGGUUAUUGUGGCUAAAGUGUUGACUGGACAAAUAUACUUGAUUUUAAAGUAUUAGAUUUAAAUAUAAAACACUACAUUGUCUGUUUGUACAGAGAUAGUAGUUUGUAAACUGUGGGAACAUAGUCACAUCCUAACUAACACAUGCCAACAAUGCAGACACAAACAAGACCUUAUCGGAGCCUUACAUUUUUGUUAUGGGUUCUCUAUAUGGCUCAUGGAACAUCACGUUGACCAUGCAGUUUACACUUCAUUAACAUCUGAAGAUCUACAAAUGUUAUAAAUCCACGCUAUUGAACUUUUCCAGUCAUAUUAUAUAUCUUCCCCAAUACACAUAUCCAUCCCCAUUGAAACAUCAAGGGCAGUCUAAAAAAAAUGUGAACAAUAAAACAAUAUAGGGGGUUUUCAUUAUAUAUAUAUAUAAUUAAAGUUUGUUUGAAGUUGGGUAAUAACAGUUUUAUGGUUUUUAUUUCAAAUGUAUUGAACAGUUACAUUUUAAAUGAACCACCAAUUUUUGUUUGAAAGCUUUGUGUGUCAUCAGGAAAUAUAGAUGAGUCAAUUUAAUAAUCUUGCUUUGCAUUAUUUGCAGUUAUUUGACAGAUUUAGUUCACUGAACAAAAAUAUAAACGCAACAUGUAAAGUGUUGGUCUCAUGUUUCAUGAGCUGAAAUAAAAGAUCCCAGACAUUUUCCAUAUGCACACAAAGCUUUUCUCACAAAUGUUGUGCACAAAUUAGUUUACAAUAAAGGGCCACUCUAAAAUGUGCAGUUUUGUCACACAACACAAUGCCACAGAUGUCUCAAUUUUGAGGGAGUGUGCAAUUGACAUGCUGACUGCAGGAAGGGCCACCAGAGCUGUUGCCAGAUUAUUGAAUGUUAAUUUUUCUACCAUAAGCCGCCUCCAACAUUUUAGAGAAUUUGACAGUACAUCCAACUGGCCUCACAAUCAUGGACCACGUGUAUGCUGUUGUGUGGGGAGAGAGGUUUGCUGAUGUCAAUGCUGUGAACCGAGUGCCCCAUGGUUGGGUAAUGGUAUGGGCACUACUGACAACGAACACAAUUGUAUUUUAUCAAUGGCAAUUUUUUUGAACGGUAUAUGUGACCAACAGAGGCAUGUCUGUAUUCCCAGUCAUGUGAAAUCAUAGAUUAGGGCCGAAUGAAUUUAUUUCAAUUUACUGAUUCACUCAUAUGAACUUUAAUUCAGUAAAAUCUUAGAAAUUAUUGCAUGUUGCUUUUAUAUUUUUGUCCUAUGUGUGUGUAUAUUAUUUAGCAGAUGCUUUUAUCCAAAAUCACUUAGUCAUGCGUGCAUAAAUUGUACAUUUGGGUGAUCCCGGCAAUCAAACCCACUACCCUGGCUUUACAAGCACCAUGCUCAACCAGCUGAGCUACAAAAAGUGUAUAGAAAUGGUCAAUGUGCUUGACAAUAUCUCUUCAAUUGUUUUAUGCUUCACUUUCAUAGAGUGCAGCAGACUAGGGAAUGGACCUAGCCUAACUCGGGUCAAAUUUAUUUGUGACGUGUAACCGUUUUAAGAUUAGUGAAUUAACCUGCAAAUGUGACAUGACAAUUUGUUUCACAAACUUUGAAUCGGUUUAUUUUCUUUGGAGAAAGCGCAGUUCUUUUACGAUGAGCGUUUGUUUGUAGCGCAUUGAUAGUUGCUUUUACAUUGUAAUUAAUCACCACGAUUGCCCCCUUUUGUCUCCCUCCUGACAACCAAGCUUCAGAAUGCUGAAAAGUGUUGCCCUGUUCCCCAUAGGGCUCCAUCCGCGACAAGAUGUUUUGCUGUUUGAUUUUAACACACGUAAUAUGAUCACUUAGCCUAAUAUGUGGAAUGACUCUGGGUUAAACAAACAAAGGUUUUUAAUGCAUAAGGUUAUCGUUGAACAGCCUUUAUAAAUCGGUAUUCAUGAGUUCCUGUAUGCAUGCUUCUUGCCUUGUAAAUAUAUGUGUUUAAUAUAGGCCUAUUGUGUGCAUCUGUAGCCCAUUGGUAAAUCUGUAUUUUGGUUGUCCUUUUAGUAUAGGGAGAUGCCCUCCUCAUAUCAACGACGUGUCAUGGCGCCUGGUGUUAUCAAGAACGGGCAUGUGCAUGAGGUCAACGAGCCGUCCUAUCUGAUUUCAUUAAACGUUGAGGUAUGUCCCUUUCCAGAACCCAAUGAUCUAAACUUGUCAUCAUUACAAACGUAAGCCUAUACUUUUACAGAAUAUCAACAACGGAGGAUCGUCGGAAGAAGUCCUUUUUUUGCUGUACUAUGGAACAACUUCAGGUAGCUAAUGUUUUGUUGCAGCCUAUAUAGAAUGUGGGGUUCACCAUUAGUUGAAUAGGGUAAUUUCACAGAAAGUCUAAUGUUUUACAUGCACUCUUGAACGUGGCAGUUGAUUUAAAUAGAUAGCCUACACUGUAUUUUCCAAAUCGGCAUACUUUACAGAUCUGUAUAUAAUUAUUGGCUAGCUGUUAGGUCCACGUGAAUGAGUACAAAUAAAGUCAUGUUAGUUAUAUUUGAUGUUUGUUAAAUGAUUAUUAAACUUUUUCUUGAAUAGCAUGUCUUUCAACAGUGAUCUGUGUUUUAGAUGUACUUCUGCCACAUUGAGCAGAGAUUAAAACCUGACUUUGCAAAUAGCUCCAGUGUAUUUUAAUCUAUGUGCAGUAAUCUCAUUCAAUAGUGUUCUGCAGACUGUUUCAUUUUUUUUACACAUUUGUUAAACAAUUUUAAAAAAUAAAUUAUCAGAAAAACAGA